GUCUUCCAGAACCCUGCGCGCCACUCACGUCAACGUCGACGUAAAGCCCUGCUCCUGGCCACGCCCACGCAGAAAGCCCCGCGGGGAACCGUCGCUUUACAGAGUCCAGUUAGCGGUUUUGCCCGACAAUCGAGCCCAGCCAGCCGAUUCAGGUGACCUCAGCGAUUUACUGGCGGUGUCCUCACCAGAACUCAGAGCUCAGCAAGACAGCCCUGCCGAACUGCAGGGCCGUGGCAGUGUAUCCUGCCCAAUUGUGGACCCUGAGACCCCAACCCUGAUCCUUAUCCAAUUGCAGACCCUGGCAACAAAUCACCCACCGGGCAAAGACGGGUCAGCUGGUCCUGCUGAAACUCAGAACCCACCAGGCAGCCCCAGCCCCCUCCAGAAUGGAUUCCAAGAGAGGGAACUGGCUCACUAUGGACACCACCAACUGAUGUGCCCAGAAUUGUUGGCUGGCUGAUGUUGGCUUGCACCCUCAGGAGUUUCCAGGUGAAAUCUGAAAUUGGCCCCAUACAUGGAGGACAAGAAGAGACUGAAGAAAGAGGCAGACCACUCCAGAUUGACAAGAUCAAAGCAACAUAUCCAGUAUAUGACUAGAAGAGACCUGGGAAGAUGGAAAUGCCACAAGAAGGAGGACACAAGAGUCCCUAAGUCUCCAUAUAAAGAAAAAGAAAAGUAGUGAAAAACAGAAAAAAAGAAAGAAAAUUGAAUAGAUGGACCUGCUACCGGAUUGAAAUAGGACUGAAAUUACUUCAUUUUUCCCUAGAAGUCGGACUAUGAAGCACUUUACAGUCCAUAAAGUAAGUAGGCAGUGAGACUGGUGUUCUUAAAGAGUGAGGUUGGCCCAGUUGGGCGGGGCUCAGUGUAAUGGCUCUGUUCUCCACUAGAUGGAGCUGCUAGCCUACUGGGGUGGGGUGUUGCCGCGCUUGUAGGUGCAUAUGCGCAUGUGCAGUAAUGGUGAAAAUGACGUCACCCAGGUAUCCAGUCUCUAGUAUUGGAAGGAACUCUGUUCUCCCUGAUCAGCAAUCGCGCACCUGUCCUCUGUCUUCGGCUUUCAUCCACUCCCCGCUUCUUCACUGUCCGUGACCAAGCCCCAGGUAGUACCUCUCUCCGGAGUUUUGUCUCAGAUGCGGCUGUUCUCCCUGCCCCGUUA